UACGUAGGGGGCAAGCGUUGUCCGGAAUCAUUGGGCGUAAAGCGCGUGUAGGCGGCUCGAUAAGUCUGCUGUGAAAGUUCAGGGCUCAACCCUGAAAUGCCGGUGGAAACUGUCGAGCUAGAGUCCGGAAGAGGCGAGUGGAAUUCCUGGUGUAGCGGUGGAAUGCGCAGAUAUCAGGAGGAACACCAAUGGCGAAGGCAGCUCUCUGGUGCGUGACUGACGCUGAGACGCGAAAGCGUGGGGAGCGAACAGG
rnacentral:rRNA from 1 species